GUAAGAAUAAGAAAUGAGCGUACACUUGUGUAAAAGAAGUUCAGCUAUUGUGUUUCUAUGCGACUAGGAUACGAACGAGAAUAAGUCAAGUUGAAAGACGGAAUACCGUGAGACGAGUAAAGUUAUUUAGGCGAGUAAGUUUGGUAAUGUAAUAAUUUAUUAUUCAGACGGAAUGCGGUGGGUAGAAGAAAUAGCUUUUGGGUUA